CAUGCACCGUGUGAUGGAUGGAGCUCAGCGAUACUGAAAGAUAAUGAUACUUUAGAAGCUACGGAGCCAGGAAGUGUCUCUCGGCCGGAACUAAUCCUGGUCACAUUGCUACACAAAUGUCCUGGCGACUCCCCAUCAGUUCCAUUUGUCUUUCCAAACUUCCAGACGAACCAUUUAUCUCUGUACUUGUCACUUAGGAUUCUCUCCACGGAGGAAAAGUGUUUGGAAGAGCUGGGAGGAAACAGAAUGACAUUUUUCUAAGUGUCUUCUGUCCGGAGACAAGGAGCUUCCCCUUAUACCUCAUAUGACAAUUGACCUGACAACAUGGAGCAGGUAUAGAAGGAGAAAAUACACUGAGAGCAACUGACCAGGAGAACCUAGGAAUCAACCAGUUAGAAAGCUUUGAGAAUCCCAGUCAGAUGAGGGAGGUCCUUCCCGGGUGAACAGAGCACAUUCUGAGGCCAUGGUCUCAGGGAGGUACAGUGGGAGGCCGCCCAACCCCCUCUCUCAGCUCUGCUCCCUUCUGAAGCCUGAUCAAUAAGAGUGUCACAGAGCACUUUUCUAAGAAGGCCAUGAUCUGUGAUUCAGGAAAAAGAGGGAGCCCUUCAAGGCAAGUCGAUACCCCAAUUUCCUAGUGACUGGCUUUGCUCCCUGGAGUGGGCAUGCUCAAGAUCCAGUUUGAGGUCCCUAUCUGAAGCUUACUCUCAAACUGCCUGAUUUUAACUCUUCACCAUUUGAGGCAAAAUCAUUACAUGAGUUGAUGUUAAUGGGCAGGAAACGAGGCCCCUAAUUUUUGCUAAAUGAAAUAUUAUUUCUCCCGCGCCUUCCCAUAUUACCAGCAGUCGCCUUCGCUUAUGUGGGGAAAAAAACCCCAAAGAACAUUUAACCUCAGUCCUGACAGCUCAGUAUGACAGCUGCCACUGUCUUGUGGGAUCUUACUUGAUGCCCUCCUUUAUUUACAAGGCAAAUAAUCCCAGAAUUUCCCUCUCCACUGAGCAUUUGGAAGAACCGCCCUGUAGCAAUGUAGGACCAGAUGGGUGGUGUCUGGUCGGGCCUCACUCUAACCUACCACUCUCUCAACUCUCUGCUGAGCCUGCCUCUACUUCCUGAUGCCUGAAGCCCUGUUCUUUCUAUAUCACCAUUCGCUAAGCAGCAAGAGCUUGGAGACUGGUUUGUUUUGUUUUGUUUUGUUUUUCUUAUAUAUAAGUGGAGAAGGAAGUUCUUCUUUGAGUGGUAUUCUGACUAAUAAAGAGUGAGGUUAUAAC